UAGGGAAUCUUCCACAAUGGACGCAAGUCUGAUGGAGCAACGCCGCGUGAGUGAAGAAGGUUUUAGGAUCGUAAAGCUCUGUUGUUGGUGAAGAAGGAUAGAGGCAGUAACUGGUCUUUAUUUGACGGUAAUCAACCAGAAAGUCACGGCUAACUACGUGCCAGCAGCCGCGGUAAUACGUAGGUGGCAAGCGUUGUCCGGAUUUAUUGGGCGUAAAGCGAGCGCAGGCGGAAUGAUAAGUCUGAUGUGAAAGCCCACGGCUCAACCGUGGAACUGCAUCGGAAACUGUCAUUCUUGAGUGCAGAAGAGGAGAGUGGAAUUCCAUGUGUAGCGGUGGAAUGCGUAGAUAUAUGGAAGAACACCAGUGGCGAAGGCGGCUCUCUGGUCUGCAACUGACGCUGAGGCUCGAAAGCAUGGGUAGCGAACAGG
rnacentral:rRNA from 1 species